rnacentral:rRNA from 1 species
CCGGAGGAAGGUGGGGAUGACGUCAAGUCCUCAUGGCCCUUAUAGGUGGGGCUACACACGUCAUACAAUGGCUGGUACAAAGGGUUGCCAACCCGCGAGGGGGAGCCAAUCCCAUAAAGCCAGUCGUAGUCCGGAUCGCAGUCUGCAACUCGACUGCGUGAAGUCGGAAUCGCUAGUAAUCGUGGAUCAGCAUGUCACGGUGAAUACGUUCCCGGGUCUU